GAAUAGGUAGUAAUAAUAAUAGAAAAGGAAAAAAACUAAAAACAAACAUGGGAUAAAAUUAAAAAUGAAAACAAACUAAAAAGAAAAGAAAGGGGUUAAAGGGUGUGGAUUUCCUUUAACGAAGCGCUUCGUUUAAUGUCAGGAGCUCGACAUUGAUUUAAACGGUGAUAACCUUUUGAAAGAGCGAGUAGCUCUUCUA
rnacentral:lncRNA from 1 species